rnacentral:rRNA from 1 species
UACAGAGGGUGCGAGCGUUGUCCGGAAUCACUGGGCGUAAAGGGCGCGUAGGUGGCGACCCAAGUCCAUGGUGAAAGCUCGAUGCUCAACAUCGAGUCGGCCACGGAUACUGGGUUGCUGGAGCACUGUAGAGGCAGAUGGAAUUCCGGGUGUAGCGGUGGAAUGCGUAGAGGUCCGGAAGAACACCCGUGGCGAAGGCGGCUCUCUGGGACGGUACUGACGCUGAGACGCGAAAGCGUGGGGAGCGAACAGG